rnacentral:rRNA from 1 species
GAGGAAUUUUGGUCAAUGGACGGAAGUCUGAACCAGCCAAGUCGCGUGAAGGAAGGCGGCCCUAAGGGUUGUAAACUUCUUUUGUAAGGGAAUAAAGGCCGGUACGCGUUACCGGUUUGCAGGUACCUUACGAAUAAGGAUCGGCUAACUCCGUGCCAGCAGCCGCGGUAAUACGGAGGAUCCGAGCGUUAUCCGGAUUUAUUGGGUUUAAAGGGUGCGCAGGCGGGGGAUUAGGUCGGCGGUGAAAUGUCAGGGCUCAACCUUGAAAGUGCCGUCGAAACCGGUUUUCUUGAGUGCGGAUGAAGUAGGCGGAAUUUGUGGUGUAGCGGUGAAAUGCGUAGAUAUCACAAGGAACACCGAUUGCGGAGGCAGCUUACUAAACCGCAACUGACGCUCAUGCACGAAGGCGUGGGGAUCAAAC